rnacentral:rRNA from 1 species
GACGAACGCUGGCGGCGUGCUUAACACAUGCAAGUCGAACGGAAAGGCCUGCUUUCCCUUGUGGAUUGCGGGUACUCGAGUGGCGAACGGGUGAGUAACACGUGAGUGAUCUGCCCCCAACUUGGGUAUAAGCCUGGGAAACUGGGUCUAAUUCCCGAUAGGACUGCAGGGUGGUGCCUGUGGUGGAAAACGAUUUUCUAGUGGUUGGGGAUGAGCUCGCGGCCUAUCAGCUUGUUGGUGGGGUAAUGGCCUACCAAGGCGGCGACGGGUAGCCGGCCUGGGAGGGUGGACGGCCACAUUGGGACUGAGAUACGGCCCAGACUCCUACGGGAGGCAGCAGUGGGGAAGAUUGCACGAUGGGCGGAAGCCUGAGGCAGCGACGCCGCGUGGGGGAUGACGGCCUUCGGGUUGUAAACUCCUUUCGACCGCGAGGAAGCCACCUGGUUGGAAGGGUGGUGACGGUAGUGGUAGAAGAAGCACCGGCUAACUACGUG